rnacentral:rRNA from 1 species
AUGGCUGUUUUUGGUACCCGUGGCGUGGGGAGCGCCGGUCAGCCCGGCGGACCUUUGAGAUAUGGAAGAUCUAAAAGCCUCUGUAAGAUUUUGGUUCUGCAGAAGCCAAUGAUCUGGCACGCUGGGACCUUAACUUCUGGAGUGAACGACUGCGGGAAGCAAAAUACAAUAUUGAUGAGCUUCUUUCUUUACAGAAGUAUAUUAGAAUUAUUGAUGAAAUUAGCUCCUGGCCAUUGCAUCAUUGCAUACUUGUUGGAAUUUGAUUUGCUCAUUAAUCAUAGAUUUAAACUUUUUAGGUCUGAUGUAUGGGAAAAUUAUUUGCAUUCCUCAUCUAUCAUAGAUAUAUUGACAUAUUGCUCUCCUUCAAGGCAUUGUUGGCUAAGAUGUUAUUAUAUAUACGCGACAUGUUAUUGGUUGAAUAUGAUUCAUACUUUACAAACUCCUUAA